CACCGCCUACUCCAUUGUUUAAAAACUCAUCGCACAUGAAAAAUAGGGUUUGAUAACCAGAGACUAGAGAAACUGAAGAGAUGGGAGACAAACCGUAGACUCUCCGGCGUCGAUACAGGGGAUCCGCCGCACAUCGCUCACCGACGUCGACAUGACAGAGGGGAUCCGCCGUGCGUGGCGGCUCUCUGGCGUCCACAACAGAAUGGAAAUGAACAGUUGUGCCUGCUGAAUCACAUGUCUACCACCGUUGUAUGUUCGCCGGUCUUCACCAACAACAGCGACACCAGUUGACAGUUACCGAGUUUUCAGGUGGAGAUGGUCAAAUGAAUGAUUUAGUUUACAUUACAGUACAACCUUUGCAAUGAACCUUGGUAUACCCUUUUCUUUUCUCUUUCUUUUAUUGACCCGUUACAUAUUUACAGAUCUAUAUUCUUUCAGUAUCUCACGAUCUUGUCAACUAGGGGUGCGCAUAAACCGUUAAAUCCGACUAAAUUGCCCUGACCACAGUAAAUUUGCUGGUUCAGGCGAUUUAAAGAACUGAGUUUUGACGGUUCAGCUACGGUUUGGAACUUGGAACCAGUCAUUUAAUCUAUAUUAUUGUUACCUUUUCAUUUUUGGAGUAUGUAGUUAUGUAUAUGUAAUAUGUAUAAUAUUUAUGAACACUCUUUAUUGUUAUAAAAUAAUUUAAUACAAGCUAAAGGUCGUGGAAAAAUGGAAAAACCAUUCAAACCACUAAAACCGAGCCCUUUGCCUUUUUCGAAAACCGUAGUUUGCGGUUGGGCCCAGAAUUUUCAUCAAAAUAGGCCAAAUUAGAGUGCACAAAUCGUUUUUUUAGAACCUACAACCGGGUAGGAACCGGGUCCGGGUUUAGUCAACAAAGUCAAGAACUGGGUAGGGUAGGUCUGAAGAAGCCUGUAUUUACCUCUGCUCGAUUGAAAAAGGGUGAAGUUUUGUACCUGGAAAGUCCUACACAAAGGUUUGAGCUUUGUUUUAAUGGAGAGAAGAUGGUGAAGUCGGGAAAUGAAACGAAUACGAAUGGCGUUGACAGUGAUAAUAACAACAAUAACAAUAACAGUAAUAACAAUAUGAUGGAUGUAUUCAGAUGGUCUUUGUGUAAGAAGCCUCUUCCUCAGACGCUUAUGUGCUCCAUCGGCACCCCUUUGCCGCCUGAACAUCUAAAGGGACGGUCAGGUGGUGUCAAAGUAACAUAAUUUAGAGUAAUUUUGCAGCUCAUUUCUCAAUCCGGUUGGCAUGCUUCAGUUAUGCUUCAUACUACACUUUAUCUAUGGUGUCGAGGCUUCUGUUUGUGGCGUUCUCACCGUUAUCGCCGUUCAGAUGUCAUCGUCAUCGGUCGUUUGGGUAAUUUAUAUAUGGUGUCUAGGCUUCUUUUGUAGCGUUCUUAUUUAUGAUUUCAUUACGUGCGAUGUCGAGGAUCAAGGCAAAUAUGAGAUUGCUGAUUCACAUAAAGAAGCUGAAAAGGUUGAUUUUAUCAUUUGGAAAUAAUGUCUAUUUAUAUACACGUGCAGGUGGUGUCUAUUUAUAUGAAUUAAAAUAAUUAGAUGAUAAAUAGUGUUAAUUAAGCAACUUUAAAGUGUUUUAGAAAGGGGAUGAGUACUUGUCAUACAAAGAGACCUGGGAUUGCAAGCUAGAGUUGUUGGUGAAUUGCUCCAACCUGGUGGCCACAUAAAAUUGAUGCAACUGGAUUUAGAAGAUUGUGUAGAGAACAUAGAUGCUCAAAAGAAGAUGUUUUUACAAUGACGAUUUGUCCAGCAGAUUACAGUUGCAUUCUGUAACGGAAUAUACAAAAACGAACUGCCACAAAAUUUUAUGCGAUUCAACGCUUAUUGUGUAGAAUAUAAGAGCAAAUGAUGUUUUUAAUUAGAUCACAUAAUGUAAACCACCACUACAAGAACAAUCUUCAAUGAUGAUUUAGCAAUUCAAUUGACUUGAAUGGUUUUCCGAAGCAAAA